GUUUUGCCCUCAUUCGAGAUUUUUUUUACGGUUCUGCCACUGAGCUAUACUAGAUGCUUCCAUCAGUUUCUUCUUUCUUCUACGGCCAUCGGUUUCUUCUCUCUUUUGAUGGUUUCUCUCUUCAUCACUCAGUACGACAUCGAAGAAGUACAGCAACACAUGUAACAACCCAACAAUCUCGCCGUUCCUUGAUUUCAUUAGUGAAUCACGACCCUUGAUCUGUGCGUGACCUAUGUAGUUUCGCAGCAGGAGAUAGUUUCUCUGUACGAGAGGUUCUGUCAGCUCGAUCAUAGUGGCGGAGGUUUCAUCUUCGUCGACGAGUUUUUGUCCGUACCGGAAUUCGCACCCAAUCCUCUCUCUCAGUUUUGGGUGGGUGGACGUAGAUACUGGGGGAGAGGGAUUGGAGCAAGACCACACUUGCUCUGAGAAGAUGCUUCUGUAUCAACGCCCAAUUUCCUUUCCUCAUCAGAGAGAUUUGAUCCAACAACAAAGCUACUUAGUUUUGGCUGAGGAUACAACAGAGGAUUAAAAGCGCAGAGCUCAGGAUGUUAACCGAGGAGCAAGAAAAUGAACUUCUGAACUUUACACCAUUCAUUCCAUUGAUGUCUCCCUUGUUGUAGUGACGUUGAUCCCAUAGUAGCAUCUUCUCUGCAGGAGCAUCAGAGAUGUAAAUAUUGUCUUGGAACUGCUUAUGGCUCAUCUUCUGAUGCAAUGACUAUAAUCCAACAAUGAUCUCCUAUUGUUAAGUAGUGAUUCUGGAUUUUGAGCAAUGGAAGAACUCUAUGCAGUAGUGAUUCUGUUUGGAAGGCUUUGGUUUUUUAUGCCAAAAGUUGUGAAUGCUUCUUUAAUGCUGAUCAAGACAAGGAUUUGGCAAGGCCAUAGUAGACAUAAAGAAAAUGUUGAAGCAAUUUGAUAAGUUGCUCAAUGCCGACACCAUAAUUUUCAAAAAUGCUAGAUGCAAGGUGCUUUUUAGUAUUAACUUUUUGAAGUUAUUCAAGAAACUGAUGUUGGCCUGUUUGGAGAAGUCAGCACUCAGCACUGGAUCUUCUAUUAAAGCUUUCAUGUGGCUGGAGACCCAAGAAGCAAGUGUUGAGAGAAGUUGUAGUAACUCCUCACUAAUCUUGAAGAAAUUUAAGGUUAAAUCUCAUUGUUUGCACAACAGCCUAUUGCAAAGAAUAUGAGAUACAUUCAAAUGAUAAAUUUCUGAGAUGUAUUGCCUCCAGAGGAUAUCUCGAGGAUAUCCCAAAAUUGGAAUAUCGCUUGGAGACGGUUUUAAAUAGAUACACAAAUAAAAUCAUUUUUGUUCA